rnacentral:rRNA from 2 species
UGGGGAAUAUUGCACAAUGGGCGCAAGCCUGAUGCAGCGACGCCGCGUGAGGGAUGACGGCCUUCGGGUUGUAAACCAUCUUUCAGUAGGGAAGAAGCGAAAGUGACGGUACCUGCAGAAGAAGCGCCGGCUAACUACGUG